rnacentral:snRNA from 1 species
GAGAAGAAUUGCAUGGCCCCUGAACAAAGAUGACAUGCAAAUUCAUGAAGCAUUCCAUAUUUUU